rnacentral:misc_RNA from 1 species
AAAUUCUCAAAGUAAAUCUUCUGUUAAUUCAAUUGGUUUACUUUGGAUUUGGAGGCUUUGCAGAUUUUACAAUCUGCUCCUCUUGAAUUUAUUAGCUGGAUCUCAGUAUAUAGUUGGUUCCACUCAGUGUGAUAAGUAUAUAUCACCCACUGAGGACACCCAUAAAAGAGGUGGCCAAGGAAUACAGAUGAACUGCUUCUAAUAGUUAAUGGUCAAUUGCCAAG